CACUGUUUGUGUUCAUCAAACGCAUGCAGAGAUUUGUCCCAGUGCGGCUGUUGCUAUGAGGUAGAGAGAACCAUCUCUGGCAAAGGGGUGAAUAACGCGAAAUGAUUGAAAUGAUUUAUUGUCAUUUUCUUUCUUUCUUUUUUUUUUUUUUUAAUUUUUUUUUUUUUUUUUUUUUUUUUUUUUUUUUUUUUUUUUUUUUCUGGCUGCAACACGAUAGGGAGCAGAAGUUGCAGAGACCAGGACGACCAGGAGAAUCCGCUCUUCUUCCUGUUGCAGUGUUGUAAGAUGCCAAACUACUUCGAGUAAGGGGAGAUCCAGAGGAGAAUUACAUACUACUUACAGAAAAGUUCUCACCUCACACAUCACAGACCUGUACAUGGCUACACUGUGGAAAAACACAUGUUAAAGUAAACUGGCACUUUUCAACAAGGGAUCCAAAUGUUCAAACAAGAUGGAAGACAAGAUACACGUCUUACCAGGGUGAUAUGUGUAUACUGAUGUGGUGUCAAGUAUUUAUUUUUCAUCUAGAAAAUGAGAGCCUUGCAGCAAAUGCCUGGAAGUACCUAUUCUGUAGCAUACACAAAACUCUUGAACUUAAAGCCACACUGUGCUCAUUCAGUUUCUCCUGCCUGUGCAGCAGAGAGGGAUUUUACUCAUUUGGCUGCUAAAAGUACACCACUGUGUACUUGUGGCCAUCUAACAUACACUGAGAAGAGCGAGCUAAAGCAGCUGCAGUCUGUGACCAUGGUGAAUAUCCCCUAAUUUCUAACUAAUUUCUAAUUAAGCAGAGUAUGAAAAUAGUUAUUACACACUGCCUCCUGCCAUCAUCACCUCAUCCAUUUGCCCAGAGGAAGGACAUCCAGCCCGCCACUCCGAUAUGUUUGGUUCCUUUUGUUUGUUUAUAACUAUUCUGAAGAUUGAGCUGACAGCUAAGGUGGGCAGGGCUGUGCCCAGGUGCUGGAAGGUUUGCCCUCAGACGCCACCCCUCCUGACAAAGCUGAACAAUGGGCCACUCAUGGGAAAGUAUCAAGUUGCCUGACCUAAAGUGAGCUGUCACCAAUUUAAGCAUGGCAAAAAGCAUGACUCACUGCUACAUGCAGUUCCAAAAAGCCCUUAGUGAAGAAAAACAUGUGACUUUGCACUUGCUAAAGCAGGGCCACUCUAGAGUUUACAGCUGCUGUCAGCCCUCAAAGCUUUCCUCUUCACAAACAACAGUGCUUUAUGCAUGAAGACUGUCUCAAGAGCAAGACAGAGGAGCCCUGAUGGAACCAUAUUCCAUCGAAAUGUGUGAUUUUAUCAGUUCACUUCAGAAGAAGAAUUCUGCUUUAUAAUUUACAGGACUUCUGUCAAGCACAAGAAGCACAUGUAACUGGAACUGGGAUUGCAUGGGGAUACUGCACAGCCUGAACACUCACUGAAAAGAUCCCUGCCCCCCACCAUCCCCUCCAUCUGCAUCAUUUAGCUUUAGUUUCCUAAUGUUGCUUGUCUUUCUUCCUCUUAUCAUGAUCCUAGCACCACUUGUGUUUCCAGGACAGCACUAAAGAUGUGCUAGCACCACAGAGAAAAAGAGAAAGAAAUAGAUACGUGUAUUGAGAAAAGCAGACUGAAGAGUCAUCAGAUGCCUUGUCACCACGCUGUUCUUUAUUUGAAGACUUCAUGGUUCUUUUGGACAGUCUGAGGUACCCAUCCACCCUGGUUGCAGUCCCCAUCUCAAGAAGCCAUAGGAGGAUUUUAUCUUUUCCAGUUGUGUUGACACUGGACUUCAACCUUUCAGCACUGGCCGUGACGGAAGAUCAGGAUCAGAUCAUUGCAAACCUGAAGGGCAGGCAGGAGGCAUACCUCACACACUAAAAGUUCAACAGUGCAGAAGAUGAGUUAAUCCUGUUCAACUCGAGUUUUCUUUCUACAGUAUUUAUAAGGUUUACUAAACACAGAGAGAUAUACACAUGCCAGUAAUAGCCUUUUUUUUCUGGAGGCGCGGAUCUAUCGAUCCCUCCAUCCCACUGGUCACAGAACCGGGCCGAACCAGCCCAUAAAAUCAUUGACAGUAACCCUUAGAAAUCCUGCAGCUACAGUAAUAAGGUGCCUUCAGGACUCUCUUGCAGAUACUCCCAGCACUUUCAUAGAUGGAGAGGUGCUAGGGGGCAUGAUGAACAUGCAUUUGUGUGAUACCCACAUCCUCCUGGGUGACAAACAAAUGUAUCUGAGGAGCUUGCCGCAGACUGCCCCUAGUCCCUUCCAGUGUCUUGCCCCUGCACUGCAUCAGAAAGCCCUGUGAAGGGCCUGCUUUGGCUGAAAAGAGCUUCCCCGUCGGACACGUGGUGAGGGAAGGCAGGUGGAGUCCCUGCCCUAGGAAGGUCAUGGGAUGUUUGGUCUCAUUUUGCUUCAUCAGCUUCAAGAUGCCAUUUCUACGUGUGGUUUUGGAACCCUUGGGUUUUUCUCCCUGUAAAUAUAUAACAUAAUAUAAUAUAAUAUAAUAUAAUAAUAAUAAAUGUAAUAAUAAUAAUAAAUGUUGUUACCACAUCAGAUGGGCGGUGGUGGGAGGCGGGAUGCCCCCUGCCCGGAGAUGCUUGGGCAGACGGCAGCAGCUGUCGGGAGUGGGUGCGCCUCGGCUUUCCCGCGGCACUCGAAAGAUACUUUAAAGCCACUGAAGAGACACUUCGCGGGGCUGAUCCAUUAAUGUCGUUUUAUUAGCAGCUUGACGCGAGAAAUCCAAAAUUUUCGGGGCGAUAAGUUUAUGUUUGUUUGUUUUCCCCGCACAAUGAGCCGCAGGCAAUUGCCGCUCUCUGGAUUGCCAAGGAGGGGGGUGGGAGCUGAGAGCACAGGGACGCGCGCUGAGCCGGGAGCUCUAAUGGAGGGUUCUAUUUGUUUCCAUGAUUACAGCUAUAAAUAAUAAUAGUUAAAAAAA